ACGUGAGAGAAUUUACUCUCUGGAGUCCACAGUAAUCUGUGUGUGUUAUUCAGAUCCUGAUCCAAAAAGGUACUACGGGGCAUCUCUUUCCUGCAGAACAGGAAAUUCAAAGAAAAUUCUGAUCGACACGUCUUGCCUUAAAACAUGGCACGAGCUUGUAUCCCAUGCCGCCAUGUCAUCUUAUCCAAAAGGUCCUGGUGAUGGUAUUAAAUUUCCUUCAUCAGUGAAAUGUCAGGCAUACAUCAGAGACUUGAAUGCUUACAAAGAAAGAGGUCCAUGCUCCAAGUGUCACCAGCUGUUUAAUCUAAAGUCCACAGACACACAUCCAGGGAGUCAUCCCUAUGGGAACUGUGCUGAGACUGAAUGCUUGAGAAAGCUACUUUUUGAAAAUCCAGGCAUAUAAGAGGAAACAGAGAUGGAAAAUCACACAGAGGAAAACUUAAAGGAUCUCAGACGUUUAACAACAGCACGCUUGAAAAAGGAGCUUGAGAAGACUUUCGUCAUCAACAUUAAAAAGACUGAGGAGAACAUUCCCUUCUACAGCCCAAUGCAACGACCUCUGGAUGACACACACGGACUUAACGUGACUACUCUUUUACUCACACGCUUCAGAGAGAUAACACCGGAACAGAAAGUGCUGAUGGACAGAACAUUUUUCGCUUAGGAGGCAUGAAGUGGUCGAAGUUUUGCCUAUCAUUGGUGAAUUUAAGAACAGAUGUCCAGCCCUCUUUAAUGAGCGAGAGGAUGUCCCCAUUGAAAAAAGACGUGAAUGCAUCCUAAAAGCCCUCGUUGUUUAUGUGAAUGCGAAAGACCCCUC